UAGAUUUAAUCGCAUAAAAAAUUCAUUUUAAUUAAAAUUAAAAAAUUUCAAAGGCCUUAUAACCAUCUAUUUAUGCAUUGAUCAAUCAAAACCGAUAACGUUUAGGAAUGUUUUUAUUUCAGACAUGAAAUUAAAACAAGGUGAAUUACCAAAUGAAACUAUUCAGUUACAUCUAAAUGAGAUUAAAAAUCUAACUGAUAAAGAAAUUCAGAAAAUGGAAUUAUUGAAAAAUAUUACAAUAGGUAAGUCAUUAGAUUACUCGCAAAUAUAAAUAGAAACUUCCCAAAAAUAUUUUUCA